GCCUCUGUAGCUCAGCCUGGUAGAGCUCCAGUUUUGUAAACUGGUGGUCAUGGGUUCAAACCCCAUCAGAGGCU
rnacentral:tRNA from 1 species